UACGUAGGGCGCAAGCGUUUGUCCGGAAUUAUUGGGCGUAAAGAGCUCGUAGGUGGCUUGUCGCGUCUGCCGUGAAAGCCCCGUGGCUUAACUACGGGUCUGCGGUGGAUACGGGCAGGCUAGAGGCUGGUAGGGGCAAGCGGAAUUCCUGGUGUAGCGGUGAAAUGCGCAGAUAUCAGGAGGAACACCGGUGGCGAAGGCGGCUUGCUGGGCCAGUUCUGACGCUGAGGAGCGAAAGCGUGGGGAGCGAACAGG
rnacentral:rRNA from 1 species